rnacentral:rRNA from 1 species
UACGUAGGGGGCAAGCGUUGUCCGGAUUUAUUGGGCGUAAAGAGCGUGUAGGCGGCCAUGUAGGUCCGUUGUGAAAACUCGAGGCUCAACCUCGAGACGCCGAUGGAAACCAUGUGGCUAGAGUCCGGAAGAGGAGAGUGGAAUUCCUGGUGUAGCGGUGAAAUGCGCAGAUAUCAGGAAGAACACCCGUGGCUAAGGCGGCUCUCUAGUACGGUACUGACGCUGAGACGCGAAAGCGUGGGGGAGCAAACAGG